rnacentral:lncRNA from 1 species
CAUUGACAAGAGAGGGUCCAGCCCAUUGUGGGUGGGGCCAUCCCUAGUCCGGUGGUCCUGGAUUCCAUAAGAAAGCAGACAGAACCAGCCAUGACAAAAAUCCCCAGGAAGAAAUAAGCAGCAUCCCUCUCGAUGACCCCUGUGCCUAGAAUAUAGCAGACUCGUAAACACUUAUGAAAGGAAACUCAGUGUGACUUUUAGUAAGUAACCUACUUGAUAAGAUACCAUGAUCAGAAACAAUUUACAGAAAGAAGAGUCUUGGGUUCCAGAGAGAGUCCAUGAUGU